AAAGGCGCAAUGAAAGUGAAGGUCCGCCUAGCGCGGACCGAGGGAGGAUGGGCGGACCCGAGGGACCGCCCCGCACUCCCGGGGCGUCUCGUUCUCAUCGCGAGAAGAGGCGCACCCAGAGCGUACACGCUGGGACCCGAAAGAUGGUGAACUAUGCCUGGUCAGGACGAAGUCAGGGGAAACCCUGAUGGAGGUCCGUAGCGAUUCUGACGUGCAAAUCGAUCGUCGGAACUGGGUAUAGGGGCGAAAGACUAAUCGAACCAUCUAGUAGCUGGUUCCCUCCGAAGUUUCCCUCAGGAUAGCUGGCGCUCGCUUCUGGCGAGUCUCAUUCGGUAAAGCGAAUGAUUAGAGGCAUUGGGGUCGAAACGGCCUCAACCUAUUCUCAAACUUUAAAUGGGUGAGAUCUCCGGCUUGCUUGAACUGUGAAGCCGCGAGAUAUCGGAUCAAAGUGCCAAGUGGGCCACUUUUGGUAAGCAGAACUGGCGCUGUGGGAUGAACCAAACGCCGAGUUAAAGCGCCUAAAUCGACGCUUAUGGGA
rnacentral:rRNA from 1 species